UUGCUAGUAAUCGCGAAUCAGAAUGUCGCGGUGAAUACGUUCCCGGGCCCUUGUACACACCGCCCGUCACACCAUGAGAGCCGAUAACACCCGAAGCCUGUGAGCUAACCGUAAGGGGGCAGCAGUCGAAGGUGGGGUUGGUGAUUGGGGUGAAGUCGUAACAAGGUACC
rnacentral:rRNA from 1 species